ACUCUACGGGAGGCAGCAGUAGGGAAUCUUCCACAAUGGGCGCAAGCCUGAUGGAGCAACACCGCGUGAGUGAAGAAGGGUUUCGGCUCGUAAAGCUCUGUUGUUAAAGAAGAACACGUAUGAGAGUAACUGUUCAUACGUUGACGGUAUUUAACCAGAAAGUCACGGCUAACUACGUGCCAGCAGCCGCGGUAAUACGUAGGUGGCAAGCGUUAUCCGGAUUUAUUGGGCGUAAAGAGAGUGCAGGCGGUUUUCUAAGUCUGAUGUGAAAGCCUUCGGCUUAACCGGAGAAGUGCAUCGGAAACUGGAUAACUUGAGUGCAGAAGAGGGUAGUGGAACUCCAUGUGUAGCGGUGGAAUGCGUAGAUAUAUGGAAGAACACCAGUGGCGAAGGCGGCUACCUGGUCUGCAACUGACGCUGAGACUCGAAAGCAUGGGUAGCGAACAGGAUUAGAUACCCUGGUAGGAUAGCG
rnacentral:rRNA from 1 species